rnacentral:rRNA from 1 species
GUAUGAGUAGCGAAAGAGGGGUGAGAAUCCCCUCCACCGAAUGCCUAAGGUUUCCUGAGGAAGGCUCGUCCGCUCAGGGUUAGUCGGGACCUAAGCCGAGGCCGAAAGGCGUAGGCGAUGGACAACAGGUUGAUAUUCCUGUACCACCUCCUCACCAUUUGAGCAAUGGGGGGACGCAGGAGGAUAGGGUAAGCGCGGUAUUGGAUAUCCGCGUCCAAGCAGUUAGGCUGGGAAAUAGGCAAAUCCGUUUCCCAUAAGGCUGAGCUGUGAUGGCGAGCGAAAUAUAGUAGCGAAGUUCCUGAUUCCACACUGCCAAGAGAAGCCUCUAGCGAGGUGAGAGGUGCCCGUACCGCAAACCGACACAGGUAGGCGAGGAGAGAAUCCUAAGGUGAUCGAGAGAACUCUCGUUAAGGAACUCGGCAAAAUGACCCCGUAACUUCGGGAGAAGGGGUGCUCUGUUAGGGUGCAAGCCCGAGAGAGCCGCAGUGAAUAGGCCCAGGCGACUGUUUAGCAAAAACACAGGUCUCUGCGAAGCCGUAAGGCGAAGUACAGGGGCUGACGCCUGCCCGGUGCUGGAAGGUUAAGAGGAGCGCUUAGCGUAAGCGAAGGUGCGAAUUGAAGCCCCAGUAAACGGCGGCCGUAACUAUAACGGUCCUAAGGUAGCGAAAUUCCUUGUCGGGUAAGUUCCGACCCGCACGAAAGGCGCAACGAUCUGGGCACUGUCUCAACGAGAGACUCGGUGAAAUUAUAGUACCUGUGAAGAUGCAGGUUACCCGCGACAGGACGGAAAGACCCCGUGGAGCUUUACUGCAGCCUGAUAUUGAAUGUUGGUACAGCUUGUACAGGAUAGGUAGGAGCCUUGGAAACCGGAGCGCCAGCUUCGGUGGAGGCAUCGGUGGGAUACUACCCUGGCUGUAUUGACCUUCUAACCCGCCGCCCUUAUCGGGCGGGGAGACAGUGUCAGGUGGGCAGUUUGACUGGGGCGGUCGCCUCCUAAAAGGUAACGGAGGCGCCCAAAGGUUCCCUCAGAAUGGUUGGAAAUCAUUCGCAGAGUGUAAAGGCACAAGGGAGCUUGACUGCGAGACCUACAAGUCGAGCAGGGACGAAAGUCGGGCUUAGUGAUCCGGUGGUUCCGCAUGGAAGGGCCAUCGCUCAACGGAUAAAAGCUACCCCGGGGAUAACAGGCUUAUCUCCCCCAAGAGUCCACAUCGACGGGGAGGUUUGGCACCUCGAUGUCGGCUCAUCGCAUCCUGGGGCUGUAGUCGGUCCCAAGGGUUGGGCUGUUCGCCCAUUAAAGCGGUACGCGAGCUGGGUUCAGAACGUCGUGAGACAGUUCGGUCCCUAUCCGUCGCGGGCGCAGGAAAUUUGAGAGGAGCUGUCCUUAGUACGAGAGGACCGGGAUGGACGCACCGCUGGUGUACCAGUUGUUCUGCCAAGGGCAUCGCUGGGUAGCUAUGUGCGGACGGGAUAAGUGCUGAAAGCAUCUAAGCAUGAAGCCCCCCUCAAGAUGAGAUUUCCCAUUCCGCAAGGAAGUAAGAUCCCUGAAAGAUGAUCAGGUUGAUAGGUCUGAGGUGGAAGUGUGGCGACACAUGGAGCUGACAGAUACUAAUCGAUCGAGGACUUAACC